rnacentral:snRNA from 1 species
AGCUUUGCACAGUAGCAGUACCAUAGCCAGUGAGGUUUAUCCAAUGCGUGAUUAUGGCUAAUUUGAAAA